UACGUAGGGUGCAAGCGUUGUCCGGAAUUAUUGGGCGUAAAGAGCUCGUAGGCGGCUUGUCGCGUCGGCUGUGAAAACCUGGGGCUCAACCCCGGGCCUGCAGCCGAUACGGGCAAGCUAGAAUUCGGUAGGGGAGACUGGAAUUUCUGGUGUAGCGGUGAAAUGCGCAGAUAUCAGGAGGAACACCGGUGGCGAAGGCGGGUCUCUGGGCCGAAAUUGACGCUGAGGAGCGAAAGCGUGGGGAGCAAACAGG
rnacentral:rRNA from 1 species